rnacentral:misc_RNA from 1 species
GGAAGGAUCAUUAACAAAUCAAUGUUGAUGUGUGUGUGUGGGGUGUGGUGUGUGUUUACAUAUAUAUAUAUGUAUCAUGUAUGUAUAUGUACACACACCCCACACAUCAUACAUCACAAACAUUGGCUCUCUGGAGAAAUCCAGAUUGCACAUAUACGCAUUUAUUGUCUUAUUGUAUUGGCAUUUAUGUAAUAAUAUAUAAUAUAUGUACAACUUUUAACAAUGGAUCUCUUGGCUCUUGCAUCGAUGAAGAACGCAGUAAUGUGCGAAAAGUAAUGCGAAUUGCAUACCUCUGCUAGUCAUCUAAUCUUUGAACGCAAAUGGCACUGUCACGUCAAGUGGCAGUAUGUCUGUUUGAGAACCACAAAACCGAUCACCAUUAGUUAAUGGUGGACUUGUCCAGAAUGAGCAUUUAUUCUGGGUUAAACAGAUGGUGUUGCGGGGCAACAUGAAUGUGUGAUAGUCAUUCACAUUACAUGGCUGCCAAUAAUAACUGGACACGAAGUUUGUGUUUGUGGGGGGGUGUGAGGUGUGUGGGUAUAUAUAUAUAUAUAUAAAUCAUAUAUGUAUAUAUACAUCACAUACACUCACAUCACACACACCCACAUUUAUAUUAUAUGGUCUCAAAUCAGACAAGGUUACCCGCUGAACUUAAGCAUAUCAGUAAGCGGAGGAAAAGAAACUAACAAGGAUUCCCGUAGUAACGGCGAGUGAACUGGGAUCAGCUCAAAUUUAAAAUCUGGCCUUUGGCCCGAAUUGUAGUCUAAAGAGGUGCUAUCUUGCAUAGAGUCUGUGCACAAGUGUCCUGGAAUGGACCAUCACAGAGGGUGAGAAUCCCGUUUGGGCACGGACAAUAUGCAUAAUGAGGCACUCUCGAAGAGUCGAGUUGUUUGGGAAUGCAGCUCAAAAUGGGUGGUAAACUUCAUCCAAGGCUAAAUAUUGGCAAGAGACCGAUAGCGAACAAGUACCGUGAGGGAAAGAUGAAAAGCACCUUGAAAAGGGAGUUAAAUAGCGCGUGAAAUUGUUAAAAGGGAAACGAUUGAAGCCAGCAUUGCACAUUUGUGUCAAGUGGAUGUAGUGUGUUGUCUAGAGCGCAAGCCUAGUAUAUGCACAAAGUACAGGUGGCCUUGUGCGAGUCAGGGCCGCUUUGGCAUGCCUUAGAAUACUCUGAGAAUGUAGUCACACUUGUUGUGAUCUUAUCUUAGCUCGGAGGGAUGUGGUGUGCUGGAGGUGGUAGUGGAUCAAAUGCAUUACGUGGGCUUUCAUUUCAAGACUGCAUGCAGACUUGGACUGCAAUCCCGUGGAUAGUAAGCGAUCACACAUUCCUGACGAAAUGGCUUUAAACGACCCGUCUUGAAACACGGACCAAGGAGUCUAACAUGUAUGCGAGUGUUUGAGUGGCAAACUCGAACGCGCAAUGAAAGUGUAUGCGUGGGAACACCCAAAGUAGUGGGCACCAUGGACCGAUCUUGAUAUCUCUUGAUAGAUUCGAGUCAGAGCAUAAAUGUUGGGACCCGAAAGAUGGUGAACUAUACCUGGAUAGGAUGAAGCCAGAGGAAACUCUGGUGGAGGUCCGCAGCCGUUCUGACGUGCAAAUCGAUGGUCAAAUUUGGGUAUAGGGGCGAAAGACUAAUCGAACCAUCUAGUAGCUGGUUCCCUC